rnacentral:lncRNA from 1 species
UGAACACUCAACAUUGCCCUCUUCUUCCUAUCUCUUUCUCAACAAUGAUUGAGUAAAGGGCACGGACUUGAUCCCUGUUCAGCCUUAUCACCACUUGAAUGGAAAUAUGCAAUAUUACCCUCUUCACACAUAGUCUCCUCCCCCAUUUAGUACAGUGAACAUUUUCUUAAAUCUUGAUAUGUACUAGCUUGUUCUGUAAUAGUUGAAACAUUUCAUACAUUUUCC